UACGUAGGGGGCAAGCGUUGUCCGGAAUCAUUGGGCGUAAAGAGCGUGUAGGCGGCCACUUAAGUCCUGCGUGAAAUCUUGCGGCUCAACCGCAAGCGGUCGUGGGAAACUGGGUGGCUAGAGUGCGGGAGAGGAGAGUGGAAUUCCUGGUGUAGCGGUGGAAUGCGCAGAUAUCAGGAAGAACACCAGUGGCGAAGGCGACUUACUGGACACAUAUUGACGCUGAGGUGCGAAAGCGUGGGGAGCAAACAGG
rnacentral:rRNA from 1 species